GCUUAACCGGAGAAGUGCAUCGGAAACUGGAUAACUUGAGUGCAGAAGAGGGUAGUGGAACUCCAUGUGUAGCGGUGGAAUGCGUAGAUAUAUGGAAGAACACCAGUGGCGAAGGCGGCUACCUGGUCUGCAACUGACGCUGAGACUCGAAAGCAUGGGUAGCGAACAGGAUUAGAUACCCUGGUAGUCCAUGCCGUAAACGAUGAGUGCUAGGUGUUGGAGGGUUUCCGCCCUUCAGUGCCGGAGCUAACGCAUUAAGCACUCCGCCUGGGGAGUACGACCGCAAGGUUGAAACUCAAAGGAAUUGACGGGGGCCCGCACAAGCGGUGGAGCAUGUGGUUUAAUUCGAAGCUACGCGAAGAACCUUACCAGGUCUUGACAUCUUGCGCCAACCCUAGAGAUAGGGCGUUUCCUUCGGGAACGCAAUGACAGGUGGUGCAUGGUCGUCGUCAGCUCGUGUCGUGAGAUGUUGGGUUAAGUCCUGCAACGAGCGCAACCCUUAUUAUCAGUUGCCAGCAUUCAGUUGGGCACUCUGGUGAGACUGCCGGUGACAAACCGGAGGAAGGUGGGGAUGACGUCAAAUCAUCAUGCCCCUUAUGACCUGGGCUACACACGUGCUACAAUGGACGGUACAACG
rnacentral:rRNA from 1 species